UUUUCCCCCAUUUUUCGCAACUUAAUCCUGAUUUUUUCCUCUCUUUACCCCGAUUUUUCCCAAUUAUUUUCCCCAUUUUUUCCCAAUUAUUUUCCCAAUUUUUCUGACUUUUCCCUGAUUUUUCCCUGAUUUUUCCCAAUUUUUUCAUGAUUUUUUCCCAACUUAUUCCUGAUUUUUUCCUCACUUUGCCCCAAUUUUUCCCAAUUUUCCAACUUUUCCAACUUUUCCUCCGGCCCGGGGGCUGAGGGGGAGGGGUCGGGCUGGGCUUUGGCUUUGGGCUUUUUCUUCUUGUUCUGGGAAAAAAUUGGGGAAAUUUGGGGGAAAUUGGGGGAAAAAUUGGAGAAAUUUGGGGGGAAAUGGGGAAAAUAUUGGGGGGGAAAACUGGGGGGAAAU
rnacentral:lncRNA from 1 species